GAUGAACGCUGGCGGCGUGCCUAAUACAUGCAAGUCGAGCGAACGGACGAGAAGCUUGCUUCUCUGAUGUUAGCGGCGGACGGGUGAGUAACACGUGGAUAACCUACCUAUAAGACUGGGAUAACUUCGGGAAACCGGAUCUAAUACCGGAUAAUAUUUUGAACCGCAUGGUUCAAAAGUGAAAGACGGUCUUGCUGUCACUUAUAGAUGGAUCCGCGCUGCAUUAGCUAGUUGGUAAGGUAACGGCUUACCAAGGCAACGAUGCAUAGCCGACCUGAGAGGGUGAUCGGCCACACUGGAACUGAGACACGGUCCAGACUCCUACGGGAGGCAGCAGUAGGGAAUCUUCCGCAAUGGGCGAAAGCCUGACGGAGCAACGCCGCGUGAGUGAUGAAGGUCUUCGGAUCGUAAAACUCUGUUAUUAGGGAAGAACAUCUGUGUAAGUAACUGUGCCCAUCUUGACGGUACCUAAUCAGAAAGCAACGGCUAACUACGUG
rnacentral:rRNA from 1 species